rnacentral:rRNA from 1 species
AACGAACGCUGGCGGCAUGCCUAACACAUGCAAGUCGAACGAAGGCUUCGGCCUUAGUGGCGCACGGGUGCGUAACGCGUGGGAACCUGCCCCUCGGUUCGGAAUAACAGGUAGAAAUGACUGCUAAUACCGGAUGAUGACUUCGGUCCAAGGAUUUAUCGCCGAGGGAUGAGCCCGCGUAGGAUUAGGUAGUUGGUGGGGUAAAGGCCUACCAAGCCGACGAUCCUUAGCUGGUCUGAGAGGAUGAUCAGCCACACUGGGACUGAGACACGGCCCAGACUCCUACGGGAGGCAGCAGUGGGGAAUAUUGGACAAUGGGCGAAAGCCUGAUCCAGCAAUGCCGCGUGAGUGAUGAAGGCCUUAGGGUUGUAAAGCUCUUUUACCAGGGAUGAUAAUGACAGUACCUGGAGAAUAAGCUCCGGCUAACUCCGUGCCAGCAGCCGCAGUAA